AAUGGCCAGAAAAAAUACACACACACAUUAAUGCAUAGCCUAAGCUAAUUAACAGAUUAAAAAUCAAAUCAGUGUUUUCUUGGAAGGUAGAUACAGAUGUUCACCUGUAUGGGAACUGCUGAAUCAUGGUCUGAACCUCUGAUUGAUCCCCUGAGGUGAGCAAUGAGUCAGCCUUGGAAGCACAGGUGAAGGCAAUUUACCUGUGCUGCUGGAAGGGGUGGAGCCUGGCUGCACCUCUUCUAGAUUCAUUUAAGAGUUGACUACGAGUGGGGAAGGAUCUCUUUCUGGAGAUCCUUCCUUCAGAGUUUUGCAGUGAGCCCAGGACAAGGAGGAGGUCAAAGACCACCUUAAUUUGGCAGAUGCAGGAGACCACAAAUGCCAACGCUGCCAUCAUGUGACCGAUUUUAGCACCACAGCUGUGUUUUGGAAACUAAAAUUCAUCCUUUCAAGGACAGACUACAUCAGAAAUCCAUGAAGAUACUAAGUUCAAAUCGACAUUAUUAAAAAUUGCUAUGGGUGAAUAUGUAUACAAAGAAAUCAAA